AGAGUUUGAUCCUGGCUCAGAGCGAACGCUGGCGGCAUGCUUAACACAUGCAAGUCGCACGGGCACUUCGGUGUCAGUGGCGGACGGGUGAGUAACGCGUAGGUAUCUAUCCUUGGGUGGGGGACAACUGUGGGAAACUACAGCUAAUACCGCAUAAUAACUGAGGUUUAAAGGCGCAAGUCGCCUGGGGAGGAGCCUGCGUACGAUUAGCUAGUUGGUGGGGUAAAGGCCUACCAAGGCGACGAUCGUUAGCUGGUCUGAGAGGAUGAUCAGCCACAUUGGGACUGAGACACGGCCCAAACUCCUACGGGAGGCAGCAGUGGGGAAUAUUGGACAAUGGGCGAAAGCCUGAUCCAGCAAUGCCGCGUGUGUGAAGAAGGUCUUCGGAUUGUAAAGCACUUCGACGGG
rnacentral:rRNA from 1 species